GUCACAGUGACUUUGUCCGCAAUGUGGGUCUGGGGAAUUCUGCCCUCAACCUCUUCAGUACUUCCCAAUCUAGAGGUCUGUGGACCCAAUAGUGCACAAAUUGCGCUAGGUGGUCGGGUAAGGACCUUUCAGGAGACCUGGGGUUUCGAAUGGUAUGUGAGUCAAAGAGGGGUUCGCCCGUUGAGUCUAGGAAAAUGUUCUCCUCUAGAAAAGUGGGUAGAGGUUGUGUAGUGAAGUCACCGGUUUCUCGCACAUAUGGAGAAUCGUCCGGUUCGUCCUCGCCCCACCCAACCUCGUCCUCUGAGGGAG